rnacentral:lncRNA from 12 species
AUGAGCGAGAUCGCGGCCAUCGUCCUCAUGUUCUUGCCCGAGGACGAUGCCUUCUGGGCGCUGGCCCAGCUGAUGGUGUCGCCUGCUGACGACAGGCACGGUAGGGGCCCGCCGGGCCGCCGGGCGGGAGGGGAGUCAGGAGGGCCUCCCUGCAGGCUGCUCCGGGGGGCAGGCGGGGACCCCCCCAGCCCACCCCCCCACGGGCAAGGGCCCCACCUCCCCGGUGGCCUCGGGGUCCUGGAGCCACGGCCACCCGCCCCACCGUCUGCAGGCCAGGCUCGCACUCCCGCUGCUCCCCCAGCCUCCCGCCCGGCUGCCUGCUUGCCCCCCAGGCCCCCCUGCCAGCCCACGGCCACACGGGGCCCAGGGGGCAGCGUCUCUCCCUCCCGGGGGCCCCCAGCCUCACUCCCAAGCCCCACAGAGGGCCGUGCACGCCCAUCACCCUCCCCGUGGUCUGCACCCGCUGCCCCUUGGGGCUGGGGACCUGCUGUCCCCAUGGCGGCCCCUGCAGGAGAGAGGGUGCUGGGUCAGCCGGGCCUGGUCCUCAGCCCCCAGCCCACGCCCCGUGGGGUCUCUGAGGACAAGGGUCCCCGGGCCCCGCACCCCCGGCCUGGGAGGCAGCCCUGCCCUCUGGGAAGAGCGGGUCCAGUCAGGGCUCCGAGGGCGGUGGGCACACGGGGGUCAGGGCGUGGGGGGAGGCCCCUGCCCCGACACCCCCCACCCCGCCUGGUGCAGGAGGAGGCCCUGACCGUGGGGGCCUGGGGCCUUCUCAGGCUUCUUCGUCCCGGGCUUCCAGAAGCUCCUCAGGUUCCAGGCUCAUCACGAGCGCGUCCUCGAAAGAGCUCUCCCCGACCUGAGGAAGCACAUGGACGAGGAGCAGAUGUCCACCGGCAUCUAUACCCCAAAGUGGUUCCUGCAGUGCUUCCUCGGCCGGACCCCCUUCUCGCUCACCCUGAAGCUGUGGGAUGCCUACGUCCUUGAUGGGGAGAGGGUGCUCACGGCCAUGGCCUACACCAUCCUCAAGGUGCACAGGAAGCACCUCCUGAAGCUGCCCCUGGAAGGGCUCCGGGAGUUCCUCCAGGACUCUCUGGCCCAGCCCUGGGCCCUGGAGGAUGAGGCGGUGCUCAGACACCUUCGGGCCUCCAUGACCCUGCUCCGGAGGAUGCGGUGCGACCUGCCCCCGCCCCAGGUGGGCUCAGGGCCCCGGCCCCUCCCGACUUGGCCUGCUGGGACUGCCCACAGGGGACAGAGCCCCCGGGGCCCCCGUCCUCAUCUCUGGGGCUCUCCUCUUCUGCUCCAGCCUCGGGGACCCCAGGCCAGGGCUGGGCAGGCGGGCACCCACUGCAGGGCUCGGGCACCAGUGUGGGGGGCUGAGCACAGGGUCAGGCCGGGGGGCCACGCGGGAGCUGUGAGGACCCCCGGGGCCCCCAGCGGGGGACACACAGCCUGCUGGAGAUGCUGACCCCGUCGGCCUCUUUCCAGCGGGACCUGAGGAGUUCCCCACGAGGCCCCUGGGCCUGGAGCAAGUGUCCCUGGCGCCCGGGCCUCUCCUCUCUUCUCCAGCCUCUGAGCCACCGCCCAGGGUAGAGGAGCAGGUCUCCCAGGGCCCAGCCACCCAGCCUGAGCCGCCCAGACCCCCUCCCAGCCAGGCCUUCGUCCAACUUCCCCCCCCCAGUGCUGGAGCUCCCUCCCCACCCUCCCAGUGCAACAGGACGGUGCAGGCAGGCGGCCUCCAGACAUGGUGGGCUUCAAGACAAAUACGGGGUCCCCUUCCAUUCGGCACCUGCCUGGGCCACCCCAGAGGCCCCGCGACGGACCAGGCCCUGGAGCACCCCCGGGACUCCCAUCACGGGGUCCCCCCAGCCCCCUAGGGACGACGCUGUCGGGCCCAGGACACCCUUCCUGCCCCGCGGCCACUGCAGCUCGUGCCCCUCGCUGGGCAGUGACGGGCACAGCCAGGGCAGAGCCAGGGUGGCGCUGAGCCUGCUGCCCCGAGGCCCCGCACAGGCCUGGGACCCUCUGCCCUCCGUGUCCAUGGGGCAGCUUGAUGCUCGCCGGCCUCGGGGGCAGAGCGUGGCGGUGAGGGCGGGGGCCCGGAGGCUCUGGCCUGCUGUCACCGUGCCCUGCCUCGUCUCGCUGUCCCUCCCAGAGGGCGGCACCCCCCGCAUAGGACACCAGCCCCUGACCCAGAAGGACCUGGGCUGGCCUGGCCCCGGGCUCUGUGGGGGCAGGGGCGACUCGAGCCCCCCCCAGGCCCAGCACUAAUGGGAUCCAGUGCCCCAGGGCCCUGGCCAGGCCUGCGUUCUGGCCCCGGGCUGAGCGAGCCCUCUCACAGCCGGAUGUGGCCUCCUGGGCCCUGGGUGUGCCCCACAGAUCCAGGUCGCUGACCUAGGGCAGCCCUGGGGAUCCCGGGACACCCCAGGGCAGGGCAGCAGGGGCAGGCCCGUGGGCCCCACCCGCACCCACACCAGGAGGCAGGUUCCUCCAUGUGCUGGGGCUCCAGCAGUCAGUCACCCGGCCCCAGGGGGCCCAAGGCCAGGGUCCAGCUGCCCUGCGGGGACCCAGCGCAGGAGCCCAUGGGCCGCAGGUCCAGGUCAGCCCUGCUGUCCCCAGAACCGCCUCUCAACGCCCCAACCUAGGACACACGCCCCCACCCGGAGUCGAGUCCGCACAGGCUCCCAGGUGGGGGAUUCCAGCACCUGCACCCCUGUGGGAUUCCCGCUUUCCUCUAAGGACAGGAAGGUCUCCCAGGAGAAGGCACGCACCCUCGGCUCUGAGUCCCUGUUUGCUGUUGCAAGUUCAAUAAAGUGUUGUUGUGUGAAAAUGCA